AAUCUUCCACAAUGGACGGAAGUCUGAUGGAGCAACGCCGCGCGAGCGAAGAAGGUUUGCGGAUCGUAAAACUCUGUUGUUAGGGAAGAACAAGUAUCGGAGUCACUGCCGGUACCUUGACGGUACCUGACGAGAAAGCCACGGCUAACUACUUGCCAGCAGCAGCGGUAAUACGUAGGUGGCAAGCGUUGUCCGGAUUUAUUGGGCGUAAAACGCGGGCAGGCGGUCUUUUAAAUCUGAUGUGAAAUCUUACAGCUUAACUGUAAGCGGUCAUUGGAAACUGGGAGACUUGAGUGCAGAAGAGGAGAGUGGAAUUCCAUGUGUAGCGGUGAAAUGCGUAGAGGUAUGGAGGAACACCAGUGGCGAAGGCGACUCUCUGGUCUGUAACUGACGCUGAGGCGCGAAAGCGUGGGGAUCAAACA
rnacentral:rRNA from 1 species